rnacentral:tRNA from 1 species
GGGAGUAUGGCUCAGUUGGUAGAGCGGCGGUCUCCAAAACCGCAGGUCCCGGGUUCGAAUCCUGGUGCUCCCGCCA